rnacentral:rRNA from 1 species
GUGGGGAAUAUUGGACAAUGGGCGAAAGCCUGAUCCAGCCAUGCCGCGUGUGUGAAGAAGGUCUUCGGAUUGUAAAGCACUUUAGGUUGGGAGGAAGGGCAGUAAGUUAAUACCUUGCUGUUUUGACGUUACCGACAGAAUAAGCACCGGCUAACUUCGUGCCAGCAGCCGCGGUAAUACGAAGGGUGCAAGCGUUAAUCGGAAUUACUGGGCGUAAAGCGCGCGUAGGUGGUUUUGUAAGUUGGAGGUGAAAUCCCCGGGCUCAACCUGGGAACUGCCUCCAAAACUGCAUGACUAGAGUACGGUAGAGGGUAGUGGAAUUUCCUGUGUAGCGGUGAAAUGCGUAGAUAUAGGAAGGAACACCAGUGGCGAAGGCGACUACCUGGACUGAUACUGACACUGAGGUGCGAAAGCGUGGGGAGCAAACAGGAUUAGAUACCCGUGUAGUCC